rnacentral:sRNA from 1 species
AGAGUUAAAUAGUACGUGAAAUUGUUGAAAGGGAAACGCUUGAAGUCAGUCGUGCUGGCGCGAAAUCAGCUCGACCACUCGGGGAUCACGGGCCGUAGCGAGCUUCAAAACCGUUACGACUCGUGAUUGCUUGGUGGCCUGGUGCACUUUCGUGUCGGCUGGUUAACAUCAAUUUCGAUCGUCAUAAAAAGGCUGGAGGGAUGUGGCUCCUUCGGGAGUGUUAUAACCUUUGGCGGAAUGUGGUGGUCGGGAUUGAGGUUUGCAACGAAUACCUUCAGGGCUGUUCCACCUGGCCUCUCAUCGGCAUCCUGGCGACGACAGCUUGCUGACGUUGUUAUGAUCAGCCUUCGAACAGGCUAGAGUGUGAGCAAAUUCGUUAAGGAUGUUAACGUAAUGGCUUUAAACGACC